rnacentral:lncRNA from 1 species
AUAUCAAGUCUUUCUCAUAUAACAUUUUUCUUGUACUAAUACGUAUUGGUCGAUUUUGACACCACUAGGUAGCCAAUGGUUGGUGAAACAAAUCGAUACAAGAUAUAACUAGAUAUAAAUAAGGCUAUUAAAUCAUUAAAUUAACAAGUAUGAAAAGUACAAAAAUAAAAAGUUAAAACUAACGAUCGAUGGAAAAUCCAUAUGCCUUCUUUAGAUUCUCAUUUUCCUGGAGAAGAUAUCUUACUGUGCCUAUGACCCUUCCUGCUUGGACCCGACGGCGGAGCUCGGCGUAUGGCAAAGAGAUGAUAAUUAGCCACCUUCCGACACCCUUUAAUUUUUCCAUCGACCACCACCGAGCUGGCCACUUUCUCAAACUCAGAACCACAAUGUUCGACUGGCGCUGGCGCCGGGUGGAUUCGAGCCCAAGAUUCACUUCCACUUGUCAAUAAAACUACCAUUACAAUUAUCAUGAAGGAGCUUAAUAUUUUUUGAUAAGAAAAGCUGGGCAUCGUGUGUAUAACAAAUUACAUAAACUUGAAUUGGCUGCAAAUUAAUUUGAGAGGCU